rnacentral:lncRNA from 1 species
GGGACAGGGAAACGAAAAAAGUAGGUGAUUACAUAGCUAAUCUCACUAGGGGAUUAUAAGUAGAAAAAUCAGGGAGAUCCCUAGAAGUUAAUGAUUACUUAAAAAGAGCAGGUUUGCUCAACCACAAAACCAAGCAGGCUUGUUUAACAACAAAACCAUGCAACAGAAGCCCCCAAACAAUAAAACAAUGGUGGCAUGAGUCCCACAUUCUGUCCAGUGAGUUCAGUAAGUUAAUGAUCCUUAGGACAUGCUCUUUCCACACGUUAAAAAAAAAAAAAAAACAAUAAUUUGUGGAUCUAGCUUGACCAUGUAGGGACAAGAAGACUCCCCUGCUCAACCUGGAGGAGGACAUGAUGAUGGAAGCAUGACAUCUACUCAAGAAAGACAUAGAAAUUCUUCUCUCUCCUCCCAACUUUUCUUUUGAUUAUAAAACUGUAGCUCAGUAAGUUCUCUGGGCAUAGCAUUUCUCACCUGCCCACUUGUAAACUUCACAAGAAUCAUAUUUUAAUAAAUUAUUUCUUAUCUAUCUCUUUGCCUCCUGCUGAAUUCUCUUCUGCAUUGAGACAUAAAGAACUAUAGUACUGGAGUUCACUGGAGUCCCUGAAAUGAUACCAAAUGGCUUCAUUACUGGUAAAUAGGAACAUAGCUUGAUGGGCAAGGAUAGAAAGUUUAUAAACAUUCUAAUAUGUACAAUAAAUUUUAAUGUUAAAUUGACUGAAACUGCUGUUUUUAGAGACCAAAAAUGGCUGAAAAUUUCCAGUUGUAUGUGGUGCAGUCAAAUAUAUGAUAAGGGUAACAUUUUAGAUAGAUAGAUAAAAGACAGACUAGCCCUGAUCAACUGUCCUUUCUGGGAAAGAGGAAUGUUAGUUAGAUCUUGAUCUCAUACCAAGCAUAAAAAUAAGUUAUUUAUCAAUUGUACUAAAGAUGUAAAUAUUAGAAACAUAUGCAAAUAUAUAUUAGUUAAGGUAUUUAGUAGCUGUUCAGUUCAGUUCAGUCGCUCAUCAUGUCCGACUCUUUGUGACCUCAUGAAUCACAGCACGCCAGGCCUCCC